ACAACGCCGAAGAUGUUUUGGCGGAUUGAGAGANCACUAUCGUUAACUGAAUACAUAGGUUAACGAGGCGAACCGGGGGAACUGAAACAUCUAAGUACCCCGAGGAAAAGAAAUCAACCGAGAUUCCCCCAGUAGCGGCGAGCGAACGGGGAGCAGCCCAGAGUCUGAAUCAGCUUGUGUGUUAGUGGAACGGUCUGGAAAGUCCGACGGUACAGGGUGAUAGUCCCGUACACCAAAAUGCACAGGUUGUGAACUCGAAGAGUAGGGCGGGACACGUGGUAUCCUGUCUGAAUAUGGGGGGACCAUCCUCCAAGGCUAAAUACUCCUGACUGACCGAUAGUGAACCAGUACCGUGAGGGAAAGGCGAAAAGAACCCCGGCGAGGGGAGUGAAAAAGAACCUGAAACCGUGUACGUACAAGCAGUGGGAGCACCUUCGGGUGUGACUGCGUACCUUUUGUAUAAUGGGUCAGCGACUUAUAUUCUGUAGCAAGGUUAACCGUAUAGGGGAGCCGCAGGGAAACCGAGUCUUAACUGGGCGUUAAGUUGCAGGGUAUAGACCCGAAACCCGGUGAUCUAGCCAUGGGCAGGUUGAAGGUUGGGUAACACUAACUGGAGGACCGAACCGACUAAUGUUGAAAAAUUAGCGGAUGACUUGUGGCUGGGGGUGAAAGGCCAAUCAAACCGGGAGAUAGCUGGUUCUCCCCGAAAGCUAUUUAGGUAGCGCCUCGUGAAUUCAUCUUCGGGGGUAGAGCACUGUUUCGGCUAGGGGGUCAUCCCGACUUACCAACCCGAUGCAAACUACGAAUACCGAAGAAUGUUAUCACGGGAGACACACGGCGGGUGCUAACGUCCGUCGUGAAGAGGGAAACAACCCAGACCGCCAGCUAAGGUCCCAAAGUCAUGGUUAAGUGGGAAACGAUGUGGGAAGGCACAGACAGCCAGGAUGUUGGCUUAGAAGCAGCCAUCAUUUAAAGAAAGCGUAAUAGCUCACUGGUCGAGUCGGCCUGCGCGGAAGAUGUAACGGGGCUAAACCAUGCACCGAAGCUGCGGCAGCGACACUAUGUGUUGUUGGGUAGGGGAGCGUUCUGUAAGCCUGCGAAGGUGUGCUGUGAGGCAUGCUGGAGGUAUCAGAAGUGCGAAUGCUGACAUAAGUAACGAUAAAGCGGGUGAAAAGCCCGCUCGCCGGAAGACCAAGGGUUCCUGUCCAACGUUAAUCGGGGCAGGGUGAGUCGACCCCUAAGGCGAGGCCGAAAGGCGUAGUCGAUGGGAAACAGGUUAAUAUUCCUGUACUUGGUGUUACUGCGAAGGGGGGACGGAGAAGGCUAUGUUAGCCGGGCGACGGUUGUCCCGGUUUAAGCAUGUAGGCUGGUUAUCCAGGCAAAUCCGGAUAAUCAAGGCUGAGGUGUGAUGACGAGGCACUACGGUGCUGAAGUAACAAAUGCCCUGCUUCCAGGAAAAGCCUCUAAGCAUCAGGUAACAUCAAAUCGUACCCCAAACCGACACAGGUGGUCAGGUAGAGAAUACCAAGGCGCUUGAGAGAACUCGGGUGAAGGAACUAGGCAAAAUGGUGCCGUAACUUCGGGAGAAGGCACGCUGGUGUGUAGGUGAAGCCCCUGCGGGUGGAGCUGAGACCAGUCGAAGAUACCAGCUGGCUGCAACUGUUUAUUAAAAACACAGCACUGUGCAAACACGAAAGUGGACGUAUACGGUGUGACGCCUGCCCGGUGCCGGAAGGUUAAUUGAUGGGGUUAUCCGUAAGGAGAAGCUCUUGAUCGAAGCCCCGGUAAACGGCGGCCGUAACUAUAACGGUCCUAAGGUAGCGAAAUUCCUUGUCGGGUAAGUUCCGACCUGCACGAAUGGCGUAAUGAUGGCCAGGCUGUCUCCACCCGAGACUCAGUGAAAUUGAACUCGCUGUGAAGAUGCAGUGUACCCGCGGCAAGACGGAAAGACCCCGUGAACCUUUACUAUAGCUUGACACUGAACAUUGAGCCUUGAUGUGUAGGAUAGGUGGGAGGCUUUGAAGCGUGGACGCCAGUCUGCGUGGAGCCAACCUUGAAAUACCACCCUUUAAUGUUUGAUGUUCUAACGUUGGCCCCUUACCGGGGUUGCGGACAGUGUCUGGUGGGUAGUUUGACUGGGGCGGUCUCCUCCCAAAGCGUAACGGAGGAGCACGAAGGUUAGCUAAUCCUGGUCGGACAUCAGGAGGUUAGUGCAAUGGCAUAAGCUAGCUUGACUGCGAGCGUGACGGCGCGAGCAGGUGCGAAAGCAGGUCAUAGUGAUCCGGUGGUUCUGAAUGGAAGGGCCAUCGCUCAACGGAUAAAAGGUACUCCGGGGAUAACAGGCUGAUACCGCCCAAGAGUUCAUAUCGACGGCGGUGUUUGGCACCUCGAUGUCGGCUCAUCACAUCCUGGGGCUGAAGUAGGUCCCAAGGGUAUGGCUGUUCGCCAUUUAAAGUGGUACGCGAGCUGGGUUUAGAACGUCGUGAGACAGUUCGGUCCCUAUCUGCCGUGGGCGCUGGAGAAUUGAGGGGGGCUGCUCCUAGUACGAGAGGACCGGAGUGGACGCAUCACUGGUGUUCGGGUUGUCAUGCCAAUGGCACUGCCCGGUAGCUAAAUGCGGAAGAGAUAAGUGCUGAAAGCAUCUAAGCACGAAACUUGCCCCGAGAUGAGUUCUCCCUGAGACUUUAAGUCUCCUGAAGGAACGUUAAAGACGAUGACGUUGAUAGGCCGGGUGUGUAAGCGCAGCGAUGCGUUGAGCUAACCGGUACUAAUGAACCGUGAGGCUUAACCUU
rnacentral:rRNA from 1 species